UCUGGUUUGAAUUGACACGGAACAAAUACCGAACCGGGAGCACCUCUCCUGCUUGUGUGAGAGAUGGCCCCGACACCUCGGCAGCAGAUGCAGAUGCAGAUGGAUGGACGCCGACCCCGCAGUGACGGAGCAGCCAGGCAGCUGCAAUAUUAAGCAAAGAAGAAAUUGAAUGGGGGUGUGCUUCUCCACACAUUCUUUUAUCUUCCCUGACGAGGUCUUACAGAAGUUCUCCCUUGUUAUAACAACGCUCAGUGUUUCUUUGAUGACUGCUGCUUUGAAUCACUGCUGGGGUCCACAUCUAUGAAGUUCACUGCCAUUCAAAGCAGCCUACAGUAUGAUGUGACUGGAUAUUGUUGCAUCGUAAGUUUGAAGACCAACCUUGGAACUGUUUUAUUUAACACUGACUGAAUCCACACAAACAGUAAAAUUGUUACCAUUUCAAACAAGACACAGCUGCAAAAGGCCGACAGACCGAUCAAAUCCCUUACUGGGAAAUUUAAAGACAUGAGGUCACUUAACUUUAGGGCCAGACUGAAAAAGACAAG